AAGACUAUACUUUCAGAGAUCAUAUCCAUAGUCUGUUACUAGAGAAGCUUUUCUGAACAUUUAGAGUACCCGAAACCACAAGGAAGAGGUACAAUGUUCUCUCCUGAGCGUGAAGGUGACUUUGGGUCUUGUUUCCAAUGACAGCCAAUUACCACUGAUGAUCAUUCGUCUUCUCCUUUGGGGGAGUAAGAGGGAGAGGACCAGGUCUGAGUGAU